UACGAAGGGGGCUAGCGUUGUUCGGAAUUACUGGGCGUAAAGCGCGCGUAGGCGGUCUUCCAAGUCAGUGGUGAAAGCCCGGAGCUCAACUCCGGAACUGCCAUUGAAACUGUAAGACUUGAGGAUGAGAGAGGUGAGUGGAAUUCCCAGUGUAGAGGUGAAAUUCGUAGAUAUUGGGAAGAACACCGGUGGCGAAGGCGGCUCACUGGCUCAAAUCUGACGCUCAGGCGCGACAGCGUGGGGAUCAAACAGG
rnacentral:rRNA from 1 species